UCCAACGUGGGGCUAGAACUCACGACCCUGAGAUCAACACCUGAGCCGUCAUCAAGACCCAGGUGCCCCUUGUCUGAUUGAAUUCUCACUACUGUUCUAUGAGGUUCCUGGCACAGAAAACCCUUGGAAUUCCUUGAGUAAUACCGGGGACAGGAGCAUCUUUUGUUAUUCAUAAUAAGCCCCUUUCAACCAUACUUGAGUUUAUGGUAAUGAGAUGACUCUUGGAAGGUGGAGGCUGGUUGCCAGAGGAUCCAAUCAGGUGAUUUCAGUCCCACCCUUUGACCUCCAGGGAGGAGAGGGGCUGGAGAAUGACUUAAUCACCAAUGGCCAAGGACUUAAUCAAUCAUGUCAAUGGAAUCUCCAUAAAAACCCUAAGUUAUGGAGUUCUAAGAGCUUCUACAUCAGUGAACACAUCCAGGUGCUGGGAGGGUGGCACAUCCAGGGAUGGGGAUGGGAGCUGCACACCCCCCUCCACCCACACCUUACCUUAAGUAUCUCUUCCCUCUGGCUGUUCCAGAGUUCUAGCCUUUAUAGUAAACCGGUAAAUGUCAAUGAAGUAUUUUUCUGAAUUCUUUGAGCCCUUCUGGCUAAUUAUCAAACCCAAAGAAGAGAUGGUGGAAAAGCUCAAUUUACAUUCCAUUGAUCAGAAGUGCAGAUGACAACCUGGGUCUUAGGAUUGACGUCUGAAGUGCAAUCUUGUGGGACUGAGCCCUUAAAUUGAGGUCAUGUGCUAAUUCUGGCCAAUUACUUACAGAAUUUAGUUAAAUUGUAGGAUAGUCAGUGGCUGCUGAGAAUUGGAGAAUUCCUUGGUGUGGAGAAACCCACGCAUCUGGUGUCAGAAAUAUCCUGUGGGCAAAGAGGAAACAAGUUUUCCUUUAGUUGAUGUUCCUUUUAAUUGUGUGCAAAGCACAAUCUUUGCUUCUGGAGAGGAGAACCUAAUUUCCAUUCAGUGUGGAUCAUAAGCAUCAUGAGGUCAGGAGCCAUGUCUCAUUUGCCACUGUAUCCUCUACCCCCACCUUGCACAGGACGUGGCAGUAAGCAUGUGCUCAAAAAAUACGUUGCAUGAAUGAAUACAAGGCUAGUAUUGCUUCACUAAUGAAAGGGUACACUUGAAACCUCAUCUGGUUAAUGCCACCCUACAGACUGCCCAAACUGCCCUCAGGAAAAACAGAAGCAGCGUGAAUUCCGAUCCUGAGAGUGGUCAUCUGGGAUACAUACCUUAUGAAAAAGUAUGGAUGUUCAGGUUGAGUAAUGAGACACUCCGUUUGCAAAUAACACAUGUUCGUUUUCAUGUUGCUAAAGACUCUUUGCUAGGAAAAGAAACAGUUGUAAUUUAAUAUGUAAUGUUCUCAGAGUACGAGGCCAAACCACCUCAAGUUGUGAACGCUUUGGCUCUGAAGAGCCAGUUGGGGUCAGGGCAGGGCAGGACUUGGCCGAAUGCCCCUCCAGAAUAAACCAAACAGCUACAGGAAGUGGUUUCCGUGAUUCAGUAGGUGGCACACUUCCUUUUGAGUCAGAACUGAAUCAUGGUCGUGAGAGACAAAAAAGACCUAUUUCUUUAUCCCAUACUUUUUUCCUAUUCCCAAUAGUAAAUUUAUCACAGUCUGUCAUAUGACAUAUCCUGUUUAGUUUAACGUGUUUCACCAGAAAAGAAAAAAAAUGCAAAUCAACUACGAGGAGGCAAGAAGAGACUGGGAAACACAGCAGAUGGAAAUGAAUCCAAGCAUCAUUCUUUCACCAGAGGACCAUAUUCUCCGAGGAGAUUGAAAGAAAAGCCACAAUCUGAUUUCACUGGGGUCAUCAAGGCCCCUGGUUCUCUCGACUGGAAUCUGACCCAUUUCCAGUGGAAGCAAUUAGAUCACACUUACAUAAACCGUGUUGCUUUAAAUGGCUCUGCUCUGCUUUUCCCUCACUGACCCUGGCUUCCUCCCUGGCCUGUCUGCUGGAAGGCCCUCCUGGUGCUGUCCCAAGCAUGGCCCUCGUUCAGCUGUGGGUGAAAUGAUCCUGUUCUGAAUGUACUGAAUGCUGCUGGCAAUGCUGUAAAUUGUUUGGAGGCUUAAGGAAAAACCCCCUGGAUAUCAACAAGUCAUAAAAACAGACAUAUUUUCUCAGUGUGUCUUUAAUUUUUCAAUAUUUAUAGUUCUGGGAAUGUAAACAUUUUUAUCCAUACUUUCAUCUGAUAAACUUGGUUUUAUUAUAUCUUUGUUGCUUCCUUCUACCCCAGUUCCUUCUGUUUGGCUGCGUGUCUCAAAACAAAGAUUCAGAAACUCAUGCUGUAUGUCCUGUAUUUAUAUCACUCUUCGAAGACUGAUAAUCAGACUGGAAUCAAAAAUCUUACUGCCAUGGGGGCUCCUGGGUGGCGCCGUUGGUUAAGCAACCCACUCGGUUCCGGCUCAGGUCAUGAUCUCAGGUUCGUGAGAUCAAGCCCUGCAUUGGGCUCUGCACUCCACGUUCUGCACAGAGUCUGUUUGGGAUUCUCUCUCUCUCCCGCUUCCUCUACUCUGCUCGUGUGCACCCACACACUCUCUGUCUCUAUAAAAUAAAUAAAUAAAAUCUUAAAAAAAAAAAAGGAAACAUUAUUGCCGUGUUAGUAUUCUGCAGCUGCUUCUGUGAACUAUUCCAGUGGUUUGAAGAAUACAACAUUCAAAAUCACAUAGACUGUGUUCAGAUUCAAGCUCAACAAAAAAUUGCACAGCUCUGUGACCUUAGCACUCUAGGUGUUUACAUGUCUGCGGGACUGGUAUCAACCUUCAGAUCCCAUUUUUGCAACCCACGGCUCAGAUGAAGGAAGUAACCCACACCGUCCACACCACCACUCUUCACCUUUAAUGCCACCUUACGCCCGCACUCCAGACAGCUUGUCCAUUGAGAAUUCUCUCAGCUGCAUCAGUACAUACAGUUCCUGAUACUCUGCUCCUGGGAAGACGGAUUGACUUCUCUGGUUGAUAAGUGUGGGACAGAAUACGAGGUGCGGCCCUUUGCCCCCUGGGAGUGACAGCCGACAGAACGCAGGCGCUCUGUCCUGCUCUGCCAUCAUGUCCGUCUUCCUCAGGCUGCCUUGGCCCUGCCAGUGGAUGCACUGAUCGCUGCUUCUUUAUGCCUGCUCCGGGGGUUCAACAUUAGCUGGUCCACUGGGUUGAAGAACCCAGAGCAGCAUCUAACAACUGCCUCAUUAGAGAGAGACACAGCGAGAGAGGGAGCAC